UACGUAGGGUGCAAGCGUUGUCCGGAAUUAUUGGGCGUAAAGAGCUCGUAGGCGGUUUGUCGCGUCUGCUGUGAAAAUCCAGGGCUUAACCCUGGACCUGCAGUGGGUACGGGCAGACUAGAGUGCGGUAGGGGAGAGUGGAAUUCCAGGUGUAGCGGUGAAAUGCGCGAGAUAUCUGGAAGAACACCCGUGGCUAAGGCGGCUCUCUAGUACGGUACUGACGCGUGAGACGGCGAAAAGCGUGGGGAGCGAACAGG
rnacentral:rRNA from 1 species